rnacentral:misc_RNA from 1 species
AUAGGAACCAUCCAAUCAAUGGCUCUUCAGGAGUUCUCUCCUUUAAUCAAUAUGGAAAUCUCAUUCUCUAUAGCAAUCAUAACCAGACAGUUUCUGUAUGGUCUGCAAAUGUCUCAUUGGAAGUUGCAGAUACUUGUGUAGCUAAGCUUUUGGAUUCAGGAAACUUGAUUUUGGUUCAAGAUAGAAGCGAAAGAAUUGUGUGGCAAAGCUUUG